rnacentral:rRNA from 1 species
UACGGAGGGUGCAAGCGUUAAUCGGAAUUACUGGGCGUAAAGCGUGCGUAGGCGGUUUGUUAAGUCAGAUGUGAAAGCCCUGGGCUCAACCUGGGAACUGCAUUUGAUACUGGCAGGCUAGAGUAUGGUAGAGGGAAGUGGAAUUCCGGGUGUAGCGGUGAAAUGCGUAGAUAUCCGGAGGAACACCAGUGGCGAAGGCGACUUCCUGGACCAAUACUGACGCUGAGGUACGAAAGCGUGGGUGGCAAACAGG